rnacentral:rRNA from 1 species
UGGGGAAUAUUGGACAAUGGGGGCAACCCUGAUCCAGCAAUGCCGCGUGAGUGAUGAAGGCCUUCGGGUUGUAAAGCUCUUUUGUCAGGGACGAUAAUGACGGUACCUGACGAAUAAGCCCCGGCUAACUUCGUGCCAGCAGCCGCGGUAAUACGAAGGGGGCUAGCGUUGUUCGGAAUUACUGGGCGUAAAGGGCGCGUAGGCGGCCCAAUAAGUCAGAUGUGAAAGCCCCGAGCUUAACUUGGGAACUGCAUUUGAUACUGUUGGGCUAGAGAGUGAGAGAGGAAAGUGGAAUUGCGAGUGUAGAGGUGAAAUUCGUAGAUAUUCGCAAGAACACCAGUGGCGAAGGCGGCUUUCUGGCUCACAACUGACGCUAAGGCGCGAAAGCGUGGGGAGCAAA